UUAGGUAACAUUACUGACACUGAUAGGCUACCGUUUUCUCUUAUUUAUCCCAUGUCAAUGAAUUAAAAACUUUUCAAACGUUCAUGUUUGUACUUUGUGUUAUGGGAGCGGUUGUUCUCCCAUCCUGUGUGUGUUCUCUCUCUCUCUCUCUCCCCUUUUCCCUGUCUGUCUGUUUUGCUGGAGCGGCUGAAAGUAGGUCAAGGGGCGUGGCCGGGCGAUCUACCUACCUGCACGGCUGCUGGCAAUCCUGCAAUCACCUGCUGCUCAGCGGUUGCUGAUUCCCCUGAUCACGGCUGCAGUAUUUAGACUCGGUUGGAACCUGUCUUCGGGGACAAAUCGUUACAGCUACCAAAGUGACCUACACCCCCCAACCUGUUGCCUUUAGACCGCUGGUCCGCCAGCCGUUCGUUUCUCAGACCUACUAUCUCCCUGCUUGGAUUCCUGUGAGAGUUGUUUUGGACACGCUACAUUCUGCCCACGCCCACUGCAGUCCUGUCUUCCCCACCUGCGCAGCUAACUGUCCCUGGCUGCUUUGUUUGUCCUGUGACGAUCAUUAAAAGACUUUCGAAACGUU